rnacentral:rRNA from 1 species
AGCGAACGUUGGCGGCGCGCUUAACACAUGCAAGUCGCACGAGAAAGGGGGCAACCCUGAGUAAAGUGGCGCACGGGUGCGUAACACGUAGGCAAUCUACUCUCGGGAGGGGGAUAACUGUCCGAAAGGACAGCUAAUACCGCAUAAGACCACGGCCACCCCGGUGGUUGCGGUCAAAGGUGGCCUCUACUUGUAAGCUAUCACCUGAGAACGAGCCUGCGGCCCAUCAGCUAGUUGGCAGGGUAACGGCCUACCAAGGCUACGACGGGUAGCUGGUAUGAGAGGAUGAUCAGCCACACUGGCACUGAAACACGGGCCAGACUCCUACGGGAGGCAGCAGUGGGGAAUAUUGGACAAUGGACGCAAGUCUGAUCCAGCGACGCCGCGUGGGUGAUGAAGGCCUUCGGGUUGUAAAGCCCUGUGGGCAGGGAAGAAAAUGGUCGUCAAUAAUAAGGGCGGCACUUGACGGUACCUGCUCAGAAAGCACCGGCUAACUCUGUGCCAGCAGCCGCCGUAAGAC